UUAAGCGACUAAGCGUACACGGUGGAUGCCCUGGCAGUCAGAGGCGAUGAAGGACGUGCUAAUCUGCGAUAAGCGUCGGUAAGGUGAUAUGAACCGUUAUAACCGGCGAUUUCCGAAUGGGGAAACCCAGUGUGUUUCGACACACUAUCAUUAACUGAAUCCAUAGGUUAAUGAGGCGAACCGGGGGAACUGAAACAUCUAAGUACCCCGAGGAAAAGAAAUCAACCGAGAUUCCCCCAGUAGCGGCGAGCGAACGGGGAGGAGCCCAGAGCCUGAAUCAGUGUGUGUGUUAGUGGAAGCGUCUGGAAAGGCGCGCGAUACAGGGUGACAGCCCCGUACACAAAAAUGCACAUGCUGUGAGCUCGAUGAGUAGGGCGGGACACGUGGUAUCCUGUCUGAAUAUGGGGGGACCAUCCUCCAAGGCUAAAUACUCCUGACUGACCGAUAGUGAACCAGUACCGUGAGGGAAAGGCGAAAAGAACCCCGGCGAGGGGAGUGAAAAAGAACCUGAAACCGUGUACGUACAAGCAGUGGGAGCACGCUUAGGCGUGUGACUGCGUACCUUUUGUAUAAUGGGUCAGCGACUUAUAUUCUGUAGCAAGGUUAACCGAAUAGGGGAGCCGAAGGGAAACCGAGUCUUAACUGGGCGUUAAGUUGCAGGGUAUAGACCCGAAACCCGGUGAUCUAGCCAUGGGCAGGUUGAAGGUUGGGUAACACUAACUGGAGGACCGAACCGACUAAUGUUGAAAAAUUAGCGGAUGACUUGUGGCUGGGGGUGAAAGGCCAAUCAAACCGGGAGAUAGCUGGUUCUCCCCGAAAGCUAUUUAGGUAGCGCCUCGUGAAUUCAUCUCCGGGGGUAGAGCACUGUUUCGGCAAGGGGGUCAUCCCGACUUACCAACCCGAUGCAAACUGCGAAUACCGGAGAAUGUUAUCACGGGAGACACACGGCGGGUGCUAACGUCCGUCGUGAAGAGGGAAACAACCCAGACCGCCAGCUAAGGUCCCAAAGUCAUGGUUAAGUGGGAAACGAUGUGGGAAGGCCCAGACAGCCAGGAUGUUGGCUUAGAAGCAGCCAUCAUUUAAAGAAAGCGUAAUAGCUCACUGGUCGAGUCGGCCUGCGCGGAAGAUGUAACGGGGCUAAACCAUGCACCGAAGCUGCGGCAGCGACACUGUGUGUUGUUGGGUAGGGGAGCGUUCUGUAAGCCUGUGAAGGUGUACUGUGAGGUAUGCUGGAGGUAUCAGAAGUGCGAAUGCUGACAUAAGUAACGAUAAAGCGGGUGAAAAGCCCGCUCGCCGGAAGACCAAGGGUUCCUGUCCAACGUUAAUCGGGGCAGGGUGAGUCGACCCCUAAGGCGAGGCCGAAAGGCGUAGUCGAUGGGAAACAGGUUAAUAUUCCUGUACUUGGUGUUACUGCGAAGGGGGGACGGAGAAGGCUAUGUUGGCCGGGCGACGGUUGUCCCGGUUUAAGCGUGUAGGCUGGUUUUCCAGGCAAAUCCGGAAAAUCAAGGCUGAGGCGUGAUGACGAGGCACUACGGUGCUGAAGCAACAAAUGCCCUGCUUCCAGGAAAAGCCUCUAAGCAUCAGGUAACAUCAAAUCGUACCCCAAACCGACACAGGUGGUCAGGUAGAGAAUACCAAGGCGCUUGAGAGAACUCGGGUGAAGGAACUAGGCAAAAUGGUGCCGUAACUUCGGGAGAAGGCACGCUGAUAUGUAGGUGAAGCGACUUGCUCGUGGAGCUGAAAUCAGUCGAAGAUACCAGCUGGCUGCAACUGUUUAUUAAAAACACAGCACUGUGCAAACACGAAAGUGGACGUAUACGGUGUGACGCCUGCCCGGUGCCGGAAGGUUAAUUGAUGGGGUUAGCGCAAGCGAAGCUCUUGAUCGAAGCCCCGGUAAACGGCGGCCGUAACUAUAACGGUCCUAAGGUAGCGAAAUUCCUUGUCGGGUAAGUUCCGACCUGCACGAAUGGCGUAAUGAUGGCCAGGCUGUCUCCACCCGAGACUCAGUGAAAUUGAACUCGCUGUGAAGAUGCAGUGUACCCGCGGCAAGACGGAAAGACCCCGUGAACCUUUACUAUAGCUUGACACUGAACAUUGAGCCUUGAUGUGUAGGAUAGGUGGGAGGCUUUGAAGUGUGGACGCCAGUCUGCAUGGAGCCGACCUUGAAAUACCACCCUUUAAUGUUUGAUGUUCUAACGUUGACCCGUGAUCCGGGUUGCGGACAGUGUCUGGUGGGUAGUUUGACUGGGGCGGUCUCCUCCUAAAGAGUAACGGAGGAGCACGAAGGUUGGCUAAUCCUGGUCGGACAUCAGGAGGUUAGUGCAAUGGCAUAAGCCAGCUUGACUGCGAGCGUGACGGCGCGAGCAGGUGCGAAAGCAGGUCAUAGUGAUCCGGUGGUUCUGAAUGGAAGGGCCAUCGCUCAACGGAUAAAAGGUACUCCGGGGAUAACAGGCUGAUACCGCCCAAGAGUUCAUAUCGACGGCGGUGUUUGGCACCUCGAUGUCGGCUCAUCACAUCCUGGGGCUGAAGUAGGUCCCAAGGGUAUGGCUGUUCGCCAUUUAAAGUGGUACGCGAGCUGGGUUUAGAACGUCGUGAGACAGUUCGGUCCCUAUCUGCCGUGGGCGCUGGAGAACUGAGGGGGGCUGCUCCUAGUACGAGAGGACCGGAGUGGACGCAUCACUGGUGUUCGGGUUGUCAUGCCAAUGGCACUGCCCGGUAGCUAAAUGCGGAAGAGAUAAGUGCUGAAAGCAUCUAAGCACGAAACUUGCCCCGAGAUGAGUUCUCCCUGACUCCUUGAGAGUCCUGAAGGAACGUUGAAGACGACGACGUUGAUAGGCCGGGUGUGUAAGCGCAGCGAUGCGUUGAGCUAACCGGUACUAAUGAACCGUGAGGCUUAACCUU
rnacentral:rRNA from 1 species